rnacentral:rRNA from 1 species
AUUGAACGCUGGCGGCAGGCUUAACACAUGCAAGUCGAACGAGUGGCGGACGGGUUAGUAAUGCUUGUGAAUCUAGCUUAUGGCGGGGGAUAACUACGGGAAACUGUAGCUCAUACCGCGUACCUUAGCAUGAGCCAAAUUGGGAUGAGGUAGUUGUUGAGGUAAAGGCUCACAAAGCCGACGACCGCUAGCUGGUCUGAGAGGAUGACCAGCAACACUGGGACUGAGACACGGCCCAGACUCCUACGGGAGGCAGCAGUGGGGAAUAUUGCGCAAUGGGGGCAACCUGACGCAGCAAUGCCGCGUGAAUGAAGAAGGCCUUCGGGUUGUAAAGUUCUUUCGGUAGCGAGGCGUUAACUACAGAAGAAGCACCGGCUAACUCCGUGCCAGCAGCCGCGGUAAUUC